GGGAAUAUAGCUCAGUUGGUAGAGUGCUUGCCUCCCAUGCACAAGGCCCUGGGUUCAAUCCCCAGCACAACCA
rnacentral:tRNA from 1 species